rnacentral:tRNA from 1 species
GGGGUUGUGGCUCAGUGGCAGAGUGCUUGCCUAGCAUGUGGGAGGCACUGGGUUCGAUUCUCAGCACCA